AACAGGUCAUUGGCACUGCUGUAUCACAACAUCAUUUGCUGUAAGUUGUUUUUAACCAGCUGUUACUCACUUAUAACGGAUUAUCCCCCCUAUGUUGGGAUCACCGGGGCCUCCAUCGCCCGGCAUGUACACGCUACAUUAGGUGUAGGUGAACAACAUCAGAGUGCGGCAGUCAGAGAUCCUAAAGAAGGACUCCAUAUGUUUAGUCGAGACAGUACGCCGUACAUCUCUUACGACGAGGAUAUUUGUUUCAGGACCGCUUUCCCGAUACUGACAAGGACAUUUAAGCAAUUAUGUGAGCUGCAGUCUGGAUCCUGCCUCUGUCAGAUGACCUAACACAAAUGGAAAGAUGACAUCGACCCUUGCAAGGACUUCAGACGAUGCCAGCACUGGACUACAUACAGUGGUAAUCAUGGGUGCCCAAACUUGUGCAUGUCCCUGUACUGAUAUAUACUAUACAAAUAAUAUUUUCAGUAGUCGGUGUCAAAUUUUAUUUCAAGGUAAGAUAGCUUUACAUGUUUUUUAUUGUGCUUUAGUGAUCACACAGGCCCUUUUUAUGUUCUUAACCGGCAUGAGUUUAUUUAUUGUGAUAUACACAAAACAAGAUAUUUUGAUAAAUGAUGUUAAGUACACAGCUGCUCAUUUACUUCAAUAAAAUGUCUUUUUCCUAUUAUGGAAGUCAAUGGGUACCAUCAACUGUAUGAUUGACAUCAUUUAUCAGAUUAAAGAAUUUUUGGCAAGUUUAUAACAACAUGAAGUGUUUGGGUGAGAUCUAGACCGAGGACUAAGGUGUAUACUAGAACAGAACUAAGUUUUGUGGCUCACAGGUGAUCCUAAAACAACAAAGAGGAACCAUGGAGAGGAAGAAGUGGUGUCCAGAUGUUUAAAAGGCGGUGUUCGGGACAGGAAACGAAGGCAACAAAGAGGAACCUCUAAGGUUUAAAGGCACUGCUUGCAGAGACGAGUGCAGAAAAUAAAGCCAGAAGACCUGACGAGAUUGUUUUAUGAUUAAAUGUUUUUGUUAUGUACAUGCACAUUAUUAUUUACAAUAUAUUUCUAAGAUACAUAAAUAUGUGACCUUGUAUAUGAAAUCCAGGCUACUGUCUUAAAAUCUAAUGACAUCUAAAGUUUGAAUUUACUGAUUUAACAUUGAGUUCAGUCUUUGGCAUGACCUUACUCAGUCAGUAUUGAAGAUGUCAAGAUUAAUUUUUCAGAGAAUGUUUUCUGAAUUGUGUAGGAUGAUUUUAUGUAGAAAACAGUAAGUCACAAAGAAAUACUUUGCUGGGUUUUCACAGGCCGUGUUUUUCCCAUUUGUACAACAUAUGUGAAUUAUCUUGAGACUUAAACUUCUGAAAUCCAAACUGUUAUAUUUUAGCAUUUCAAAUGCAGCCACCCUUUGCCUAGAAUGUGAAAUAUAUACCCUUGGGUUUUUUCAGUAAUUUUUUGAGAUCUUUCAGUAAUUCUUUGAGAUAUUUUUAAAGAAAUUUCCAUGUAUUAUGGGCUUGAAUUACUUGUUUAUUUUAUCAUUUUGUCCAAGUAAUUUGAAAAAAGUUUUAAAUUAAAUUUUAGUUCUCAAUUGAAAUAAAUGUAUAUGUUGAGACUAUAUUUUUGUCCACAAACGUAAUUGAAUCAUAUACCUUAAGAGUAUAUUAUUUUGAAGGGUAUAAGAAAUAUUUUAGUUAAGUGUAAGUAAAACGUUUACACAGUAGUAUAGCAGUGUAUAAUAGUUACAGAAUAUGUAAUUUAUGUGUGACACAUCUAAAUAUUCUGUUACUGAUUUAUCCAAGUUGUUUAUGUGUUAUAUUUGUCAAAUGAAUAAAUUUGCAACGGUUAUUGACAGUGGUGUACUUGUUUUUAGUUAUUAUUGCAAAGAAGCACAUUAUUCUGAAUAAAUGUGAAUGAAUAAAGGUUAAAUUAAUAAAUAAAUGCCCGGUAAAGCCCGUGCAGAGCGGCUGAAAUUGCAUCGUUUAAACAUCGGCCCGAGGGCAUUUGCGACGAGAUGCCGACAUCUAGACGACAUCUUCCCAAUGAGCAAACGCUCCCUGAGCGACAUCUUGCCGAUGGAACUUUGAAAGUCGGCACAACGUCGGCCAGAUGUAUGUGUGCUGUCUGGGUUAUGUUGUCAUUUUGCUAUAGUAGUUAAAUGAUCAAAAUGAUGAAAUUAUCAAAAUGUUUAUGAUCAAAUUGAACCAAAAUAUUGAUUAAAUGUUGCGUUUGGACCAUUUUUGCGCUGGAAACCAUCAACUCUACCUGGCAACACUGUCCCCCACCAUAACGUAAAAUUUCUUGCACUACGGAAAGGAAACACGAAGUACAAACAUUUCAUAAUUUCAAGGUUUUAUAUUGCAUUAAAGAGCCACACAGAUCCAAAAUCGAAACUUACCUUUAUUGCAGUGUGUCGUGUAGCUGUCCAUCAAUGUAAACAACGUGUAAAGUAGUUGAACUAAAAAGUGCACGAUUAAUAAAGUUAUUGGCUUCUAAAGUAGGGAGUCGACUCUGAAUCGCUGAAACGAGUCGUUAUAGGGAGUGAGUCUUCUUCCUUAUAUUAUCCACGUCACACAAACUUAUCCACGUCACAUGAGAUACUAAUCUCCGCCUACAGCCUUGCCCGGGAGAAACGAAAACUAUGACCCGCCCACAGCUAGUUAGUGUGUGAGUGUAAACAUCAGCUCACGCUGUGUUUUCAGCUUGUGUUGUUUUCACUACCAAAGGAGACUUUUUCAAGGAGGGAUAUUCUAAACGUGUCUGGCUGUGAAGAAUCAGUGGUUAAAAUAAAUUUUUAUCGGAGGGAUUUAGACGUUUGGCAAUGAAAGUGGUUCAGUACCCACUUUAUUUGGAACAACAUGCGUCUCCUAACCACAAACUGUAAGUAUGAUUAUAGCUACAUACUUGCUUAAA